rnacentral:rRNA from 1 species
GACGAACGCUGGCGGCGUGCCUAAUACAUGCAAGUAGAACGCACAGUUUAUACCGUAGCUUGCUACACCAUAAACUGUGAGUUGCGAACGGGUGAGUAACGCGUAGGUAACCUGCCUGGUAGCGGGGGAUAACUAUUGGAAACGAUAGCUAAUACCGCAUAAUAUUGAUUAUUGCAUGAUAAUUGAUUGAAAGAUGCUAUUGCAUCACUACCAGAUGGACCUGCGUUGUAUUAGCUAGUAGGUGAGGUAACGGCUCACCUAGGCGACGAUACAUAGCCGACCUGAGGGGGUGAUCGGCCACACUGGGACUGAGACACGGCCCAGACUCCUACGGGAGGCAGCAGUAGGGAAUCUUCGGCAAUGGACGAAAGUCUGACCGAGCAACGCCGCGUGAGUGAAGAAGGUUUUCGGAUCGUAAAGCUCUGUUGUAAGAGAAGAACGGGUGUGAGAGUGGAAAGUUCACACUGUGACGGUAUCUUACCAGAAAGGGACGGCUAACUACGUG